GGUGGAUACAGUUCUGAAAUUCUGACAGAUCUCUUCAAUAAGUAUGGGAAUAUCCUCAAUCUCAUUAUGUCCAAGAAGAAAGGGGGAAGUGCCAUUCUGGAAUUUUCCUCAUGGACAGAUGCAGAAAAUGCAAAAGAACUUGAAAAAGGACUGAUUGAUAACCCUUUGUCGUUGUCAUGGAUACAGCCUCCGCCAGAGAGACCACAAAUGACCUCAAACAUCCACUUCAACUCAGGGUCACAACACAGUGAAGACAGUUUUACAAAGAAUGGCCAUCACAAAUGCCUAGUGCAACCUCCAGUGCCAGGGAUUUUGAGAGUCUAGUCUUACAUAAACUCAGACAGGCUGAAGAGAGGAAGAGGUUGAUUGAACAGAUGCAGAAGGAGGAUGGAGAGGGAUGACCGUGGAAGAAGAUGGUGAUUAAAUGCUGUGAAAUCUUCCAUUUAUCGGCAAGACUUUAUCAGCGAUGGUCAUCAUGAUAUGGAGAAUUAAAUUAAAGCUGUUGAUCGUGUACAUAUUCUAUGCUUGUUGAGAUCGUAUGAAGCGUCUGAGAAUUUUUCCGCUGGGAGACUUUGGUAUGUGGUCAGUGAACACCACCCCUCCUCUCAGUCUUCUGUAUGGGGCCACUUGUUCUGUGGACAGAAACAUUACUCUAAUGGUUACACAAAUGUAAAUAGAUCAUGUGAAACAAAUAAAUUUUAAUUUGAUAGCUGAUAGAGAGACACAGUCAAUAUUAUGGAUAUUUUGAAGCACCAGAAUUUUAACUGGUUUAAGAAGGUAUAGGCCCUCAAUUUUGUGAUGUGCUCUCUUUUUAAAUAAACAAUG
rnacentral:misc_RNA from 1 species